AUGGUGCCACCAUCGCUCCAGAUCGCUGCCACCCACUCCAACCCCUGCCUGGGUCUCUGGCAGAUCCAGAACAUGGUGGCCGUGACCCUGCUGGAGUGCGCGGGGGACCUCCAGCCCCCCGGGGGGUCCCUGCGCCUCCUCUGCCGAGGGUCCGGGUUCAAUUUUGGCAGUUUCACCAUGUACUGGGUCCGCCAGAUACCCGGGCAGGGGCUGGAGUGGGUGGCAGGGAUCUACAACACUGGUGCUUACACCUACUACGCGCCAUCGAUCAAGGGCCGGGUCACAAUCUCCAGGGACAACGGGCAGAGCUCGGUGACGCUGACCAUGAGCAACCUCAAGGACGAGGAUUCCGGAUCCUAUUUCUGUGCCAAAUGUUAUGCCAGUAGUUGUGCUGAUGCUAGUGCUGGUUAUGGUGUUGAUGGUGCGGCCGAGGUGUCGGGGGCUGCUCCGUGGGGCUGGGCUGGAAUCCUCUCAGGGAGCUCUGGAGAAUAA